rnacentral:tRNA from 1 species
CCUGGUGGCUGAGGUGGUAAAGCAUCUGCCUGCAAUGCAGGAGACCUUGGUUCGAUCCCUGGGUCAGGA